CCUACGGGAGGCAGCAGUGAGGAAUAUUGGUCAAUGGACGAGAGUCUGAACCAGCCAAGUAGCGUGAAGGAUGACUGCCCUAUGGGUUGUAAACUUCUUUUAUAUGGGAAUAAAAUGUUCCACGUGUGGGAUUUUGUAUGUACCAUAUGAAUAAGGAUCGGCUAACUCCGUGCCAGCAGCCGCGGUAAUACGGAGGAUCCGAGCGUUAUCCGGAUUUAUUGGGUUUAAAGGGAGCGUAGGUGGAGUGUUAAGUCAGUUGUGAAAGUUUGCGGUUCAACCGUAAAAUUGCAGUUGAAACUGGCAGUCUUGAGUACAGUAGAGGUGUGCGGAAUUCGUGGUGUAGCGGUGAAAUGCUUAGAUAUCACGAAGAACUCCGAUUGCGAAGGCAGUUCACUGGACUGCAACUGACACUGAGGCUCGAAAGUGUGGGUAUCAAACAGGAUUAGAUACCCCAGUAGUC
rnacentral:rRNA from 1 species